CCGUUGCAAGGGGCUCCGAUGAGCUGUGGCAAGGGGUGAAAGGCCAAUCUAACCUGGAGAUUAGCUGGUCUUCCGCGAAACCCGUUUUAGCGGGUCGCCCAUCAUUGUAACUAUCUAACGAAACCCGAUUCGUUAACCGACCUUACCUUUGGCCUUCCCUUUUGUCGCCCCCACACGGUACUACGUACCUACGGGGUCUGAAAAAAGGCAAAGGAAGUUCAAGCUAAUUCGUUACUAGACGGUACGGCACUGGAAGCCACGCAGCUUUGCUGCAUAAUCGGGGGGCUGUCAUGGCUCUAUCGAUGGCUUCUAACCCCGGAAAUGUAUAGUAUACAAAGGUGGGCAAUCAGACGUAUCGUGAUAAGGCGAUUCGUCAAAAGGGCAACAGCCCAGAACAGGCGCUAAGGUCCCUAAUAACUACUGAGUGAACACAAGGCAGUCCUCUCCAGUGUCUCUCCACCAAGUGGGCUUGGAAGCAGCCACCUUUUAGCGAUAGC
rnacentral:rRNA from 1 species